GAUGAACGCUGGCGGCGUGCUUAACACAUGCAAGUCGAGCGAAGCAAUUUAAGUGAAGUUUUCGGAUGGAUCUUAGAUUGACUGAGCGGCGGACGGGUGAGUAACGCGUGGAUAACCUGCCUCACACAGGGGGAUAACAGUUAGAAAUGACUGCUAAUACCGCAUAAGCGCACAGUACCGCAUGGUAUAGUGUGAAAAACUCCGGUGGUGUGAGAUGGAUCCGCGUCUGAUUAGGUAGUUGGUGAGGUAACGGCCCACCAAGCCGACGAUCAGUAGCCGACCUGAGAGGGUGACCGGCCACAUUGGGACUGAGACACGGCCCAAACUCCUACGGGAGGCAGCAGUGGGGAAUAUUGCACAAUGGGCGAAAGCCUGAUGCAGCAACGCCGCGUGAGUGAAGAAGUAUCUCGGUAUGUAAAGCUCUAUCAGCAGGGAAGAAAAUGACGGUACCUGACUAAGAAGCCCCGGCUAACUACGUGCCAGCAGCCGCGGUAAUACGUAGGGGGCAAGCGUUAUCCGGAUUUACUGGGUGUAAAGGGAGCGCAGACGGCACUGCAAGUCUGAAGUGAAAGCCCGGGGCUCAACCCCGGGACUGCUUUGGAAACUGUAGAGCUAGAGUGCUGGAGAGGCAAGCGGAAUUCCUAGUGUAGCGGUGAAAUGCGUAGAUAUUAGGAAGAACACCAGUGGCGAAGGCGGCUUGCUGGACAGUAACUGACGUUCAGGCUCGAAAGCGUGGGGAGCAAACA
rnacentral:rRNA from 1 species